rnacentral:rRNA from 1 species
AGAGUUUGAUCCUGGCUCAGGACGAACGCUGGCGGCGUGCCUAAUACAUGCAAGUCGAGCGCGGGAAGCGAGUGGAUCUCCUUCGGGAGUGAUACUCGUGGAACGAGCGGCGGACGGGUGAGUAACACGUGGGCAACCUACCUGUAAGAUCGGAAUAACCCCGGGAAACCGGGGCUAAUGCCGGGUAACACUUUCUUUCGCAUGAAGGAAAGUUAAAAGAUGGCUUCUUGCUAUCACUUACAGAUGGGCCCGCGGCGCAUUAGCUAGUUGGUGAGGUAACGGCUCACCAAGGCGACGAUGCGUAGCCGACCUGAGAGGGUGAUCGGCCACACUGGGACUGAGACACGGCCCAGACUCCUACGGGAGGCAGCAGUAGGGAAUCUUCCGCAAUGGACGAAAGUCUGACGGAGCAACGCCGCGUGAACGAUGAAGGUUUUCGGAUCGUAAAGUUCUGUUGUUAGGGAAGAACAAGUACCGUUCAAACAGGGCGGUACCUUGACGGUACCUAACGAGAAAGCCCCGGCUAACUACGUGCCAGCAGCCGCGAUAAUACGUAGGGGGCAAGCGUUGUCCGGAAUUAUUGGGCGUAAAGCGCGCGCAGGCGGUUCCUUAAGUCUGAUGUGAAAGCCCACGGCUCAACCGUGGAGGGCCAUUGGAAACUGGGGAACUUGAGGACAGAAGAGGAGAGUGGAAUUCCACGUGUAGCGGUGAAAUGCGUAGAUAUGUGGAGGAACACCAGUGGCGAAGGCGACUCUCUGGUCUGUCUCUGACGCUGAGGUGCGAAAGCGUGGGUAGCAAACAGGAUUAGAUACCC